CUCUCCCCGGCUUAUCGCCCACAUCUUUCUUCUAGGCCCGUCGCCCACCGACCUCCCCUGCCCCGCCUGAGCUUCUCCCCUGUUUAGCUCAUCGUGGUCGCCGGUCAGCUUUUCCUCCACGUGCUGCCGGCGAAUUUUUUCGGUUCGUGCAACUUCUGGUGUGAGGAGCUAGGCCACCGCCGGUUGGUAGUCUCGCGUGCUCAGCCAACAGUCUCCGCGAGCUGCCCCGACCAACCCACCUCGCGCUACAGGAGCAGGUGGAGAGUAUAGAAUUGGAGAGGAGACGACCCGGCAGGUAAGUGGAGCACGCUCUGAUCAGUAGUUGAAGGGGAUGCGAUGCAGCAAGGAUGGAAGAUUUGGAGAGAGAUAGGGAACGUCCAACAUCACCAAAUCGAAGGGGGAUCCCAAUGGAUGGGCAGGGGGCAUGCUCGCGGUCAUGGCGAGGGACGGCUCUGAUCCAUUGACUUCACGAUUGCUUGAGAACCCCUGCGGGGUGAGGAUGUCCGUCUGCCCCAAUCCUCUCACUCUUAAGGCGAGGUGCAGGUGGGCCAUGGUCACAUCAUGGUCGCCACGGUCCUUGGCCUUUGCAACAUCCCGACCAGGUGGAGUUCCCAGUCAAGAUGCUCCACCUGCAAAGAUAAGAAUACAUUGUUUCCCCUUGUGAUUUGUACUUGACUUGUAUGCAAUGACACUAUUAGGAUCCAGAGUCAGUUUGAACGGAGCUUUGGAUGCUGAUGUGCAUACUUUCUGAUGCAGUAGUACUAUCUACCUUUCAAAUAUUCUGCAGAACAUAUGUGUACGCUGAAAGGACAAAAAUUCUCCUGGGCAAGCAUUCAGUUGAUUGUGCGGCAGAACGAACGACCCUCUCUCUUGCUUUCCCAACUGAUAAAUGCAGUAUUUCGUCAACCUGAUACAUUAAUGUACCAUGUGACGACGCUAUAAUGGAAAACUGAUAUGCCUCUAGCUGUGCCCCCCUCGGUGUUGAAGGUUGCGAUGAUCUUGGUUUCAAAAAUUCGUAUGAUGACGAUGAUGCUGGUCGUAGAGAGCCCAGCUUGGAUAGUUCAUGCGAUGAUGUAGACGAUACAUGAUUUCCAGUUCAUUAGUUGUGAAUUCCUUUUUUUCAAGUUUAGUAACUGAGAGUUCUUUAAUCAUAUGUAUGCUCAUAUAUGUGAAAUGAGAGUGAAUUUGGUGUUCA